UACGGAAGGGCCGGGCGUUAUCCGGAUUUAUUGGGUUUAAAGGGAGCGUAGGCCGGUCUUUAAGCGUGCCGUGAAAUUUUGUGGCUCAACCAUGAGAGUGCGGCGCGAACUGGAGACCUUGAGUGCGCGGAAGGCAGGCGGAAUGUGUAGUGUAGCGGUGAAAUGCAUAGAUAUUACACAGAACACCGAUUGCGAAGGCAGCUUGCUAGGCCGGAUCUGACACUGAUGCACGAAAGCGUGGGGAUCGAACAGG
rnacentral:rRNA from 1 species